rnacentral:lncRNA from 10 species
GCUAGCCAGAUAUACUAAAAGCACAGGACUAGGCAUGAAGAUGGAGGGAGGAACCCAGAUUAGUUAUUGCUUCCCAUUUGCUUGAUAUUGGCCUGGUUAGUUAUCUUCUAACCCCGUUUCUUCACCGCUAAAUACCUCUUGACUUGCUACUGGUACCUGGAAGAGAUGUAACACCUGACCAUGGGACAUCAAGUGACUGUGUGAAUCAAACUGCCCAUCAUGAAUUGUUGUUAUUUGACUCAUCAAACUGUACAACUGGAUGAACACAGGAGCAGUGCACUACAUAUGGGACUGGAACCAUGAAUGAGCAGGUGACUCAGACUCCUAUAGUACCUGCCUCUACUCCUUCAGCACUUCUCCCUCAACCCACAUAAACUGUCAUCAUAAUGAGUUCCCUCUGACCAGUUAAUGGAAGAGAAAAAAGUAUGGAUGUUAUGGAUAUCCUAACAUAUUUCUGGCCAUUGGACCCCUAGAAACCUGUGGCAAGUCCUGGAAGUUUUUCAAGGUUCAUCUUGCACCUUCUAGCAUGCAUAUGUCGUACCAAAGCAUGUAGAAUGCUGCCUACUUCUGCUCUUCAGUUUCAUUUAAUAUAAUUUCAUUACUCUGAUAAAUCAGUGUGAUGUUCUAUGGAAUAACAAAAGACCAUCAAGGUCCCUUCAUACCAUAUAGAGAACAGGAGAGUUGAUGUAGCCUGAGACAAGACAGUAAGGACUUACUGUUAUCCCUCCUAUUUAAACGUAGUCUGUUUCUGAUUCUCCUUAGAAUGGGG